rnacentral:tRNA from 1 species
GAUAUAGCUCAGUUAGUAGAGUGCUUGCCUCAUAUGUACAAAGCCCUGGGUUCAAUCCCCAGCACA